rnacentral:rRNA from 1 species
GACGAACGCUGGCGGCGUGCUUAACACAUGCAAGUCGAACGGAAAGGCCCUGCUUUUGUGGGGUGCUCGAGUGGCGAACGGGUGAGUAACACGUGAGUAACCUGCCCUUGACUUUGGGAUAACUUCAGGAAACUGGGGCUAAUACCGGAUAGGAGCUCCUGCUGCAUGGUGGGGGUUGGAAAGUUUCGGCGGUUGGGGAUGGACUCGCGGCUUAUCAGCUUGUUGGUGGGGUAGUGGCUUACCAAGGCUUUGACGGGUAGCCGGCCUGAGAGGGUGACCGGCCACAUUGGGACUGAGAUACGGCCCAGACUCCUACGGGAGGCAGCAGAGGGGAAUAUUGCACAAUGGGCGGAAGCCUGAUGCAGCAACGCCGCGUGCGGGAUGACGGCCUUCGGGUUGUAAACCGCUUUCGCCUGUGACGAAGCGUGAGUGACGGUAAUGGGAAAAGAAGCACCGGCUAACUACGUG